AUUGAACGCUGGCGGCAGGCCUAACACAUGCAAGUCGAACGGUAACAGGAAGCAGCUUGCUGCUUCGCUGACGAGUGGCGGACGGGUGAGUAAUGUCUGGGAAGCUGCCUGAUGGAGGGGGAUAACUACUGGAAACGGUAGCUAAUACCGCAUAAUGUCGCAAGACCAAAGAGGGGGACCUUCGGGCCUCUUGCCAUCGGAUGUGCCCAGAUGGGAUUAGCUUGUUGGUGGGGUAACGGCCCACCAAGGCGACGAUCCCUAGCUGGUCUGAGAGGAUGACCAGCCACACUGGGACUGAGACACGGUCCAGACUCCUACGGGAGGCAGCAGUGGGGAAUAUUGCACAAUGGGCGCAAGCCUGAUGCAGCCAUGCCGCGUGUAUGAAGAAGGCCUUCGGGUUGUAAAGUACUUUCAGCGGGGAGGAAGGGAGUAAAGUUAAUACCUUUGCUCAUUGACGUUACCCGCAGAAGAAGCACCGGCUAACUCCGUG
rnacentral:rRNA from 1 species